rnacentral:rRNA from 1 species
UACGUAGGUGGCAAGCGUUGUCCGGAUUUACUGGGCGUAAAGAGCGCGCAGGCGGUCAAGUAAGUCGAAUGUGAAAGCCCCCGGCUCAACUGGGGAGGGUCAUUCGAUACUGCUCGACUUGAAGGCAGGAGAGGGCAGCAGAAUUCCCGGUGUAGUGGUGAAAUGCGUAGAUAUCGGGAGGAAUACCAGUGGCGAAGGCGGCUACCUGGCCCACUCUUGACGCUGAGGCGCGAAAGCUAGGGGAGCAAACGGG